CGGAGUUUGCAGGUGGUACGGGUCCCGGAGGAAUGUUGUCACUAGGCCGGGAAUAACCCGGCGUUUGCGUUUAGGCUCUGCUCUGCUCGUUCCUUGGGUUCGGCGUGUUGUACCGCUGUGUUCUGUGCCGAAGAAGUUCGGGCUGUAGGUUGAAGGGCGUUGGGAGUUGACCGGGAUCUUUUUGCAGCUCUGUGGGUGGGUGAGGAGACCACCGUCAUCCCGGGCGGUUUGGGGAGGUGGUGUAAGGCCGCGUUCCAAACGUGCCUUUGGAAACUUGCCAGCUCAGUGUCGCGACCUGUGCCGUGUAGAGAAUUUCUCAGGGAGAAUCGCACACAGAAUCACAGAACGAAUUAGGUUGCAAAAGGCCUGUGGGAUCACCGACUCCAACCUUUGACUGAACAUCACCAUGUCAAUCACACCGUGCCACAAAGUGCUGCUUAACAAAUGUACAAACACCUGUCCUAAACCCUUAACAUUAGUGCAGGUGUAAAGCAGGAAGCCAGAUAAUGGAUUUGCAGAAGUCUUGGAGGUGACCAAGCGCGCAGCAGAGCUGGCAUCUCCCCAUCUGUUCCAUUACCAAGUGUGAUGUCUUUGUUCAGCCCCCACCCUGGCCUGGCUUUAAACUGAGGUACCAACUGGAAUCUGAAGCAGCUGACAAAUGAACACUUCCUGAGGUGGCAGUGGUGGCUUCUGUCAGCUGAGUACAGCAGGUGGCCAGCAUCAGCAGUGUCUUAUAGUGAGGUUUGUACCUUUCCCCUUGGGCUUUGUAUGAGUCUGCAAAGAGGGAAAGUCAGUGAGCAGAGGAAGAGGAGCACUGGGCUGGAAGUGGAGCAGGAGCUCUCCUGCCAACCAAGAUAACCACAAAGCCAAAGGACCCAUCUGGAGGUGGUCCUUGGCCCCUCAACAACUGUUCUCCUUCCAGCUGAGAGUGACUCUGCUUCCUGUGGUGCAAGAGAGUCAAACCUGUCCAGUUACCUGCAACCUGAAGGGGCAGAUAACAAAAUGCCAGCCUCCUGACAGAUCUCUCGUUGUUUGCUUGGAUCAUUUGAAACCCCUUGGUUGCUGCCCCACUCUCUGCUGGCACAGAAGUUUCUGCCCAGGUUGCGGUUGCAGAACAUGAACCACCAGCUCUGAAGAACCUGGCACAGUUUCCUGUGUCCCAGUCCUUCACCUGCAGAAUGUGCCAUUCCUCAUCAAGGUGCUGGAGCACAUGCUGCCUCCAUGUACUGCUCAUCAACAGGAUUGUUCCUCAAAUCUCCACCUGGGGAUGAUUCCCAGACUGAAAACCAGUGUGUGUCACACCUACCUCCUUAUGACCUUCACAUAGGUGGUGGAGAUGAAGUUUGGCUUGGUUGAGGAGCCAGGAAUGAUUACCUGGACUAAAUACAGAUCUAAGGCUAGGGACACAGGAUUUGAGGCAGUCAAGUUAGCAAGUCAGAAUUGUAGAAUAGAAUCAUAGAAGUUGUGUUAGAAGGAACCUCUUAUAAUCAUCUUGUCUAACCCUGCUGCCACAGACAGGAACAUCUUCAAGUACAUGAGGUUUCUCAGAACUCUGAGCUGACCUUGAAUAUUUAAAAGGGUGGGGAAUCCAUUACUUCUCUGCACAACUGUUCUAGUGUUUUGCUAUUCUCAUCAUAAAAAAAUUCUUAAUUAUUUCUUGAAUUCCAUCCCAUAUGCUGAGCUUGGCUUGACUCUACACAAGGUAACACAUUUCAGGUUACCAGAGCUCCCGAAUUGCUGUCCAUCAGCUGAACCAUCAAUUGUGACUAAUGUGCUCUUCAAGCUGCCAGUGAAGUGUGCUAGUCUGAAACUCAAAAUGAAGUGGGAACCACUCAAAGAUA